rnacentral:sRNA from 1 species
AUAUUUGAAAUUUACUCUCUGAACAUUGAACAUCAAAGGAAGGAGAAUAAAUUUGGAUAUGAAGAGAACAGCCCAUCUUCACCACCCGAGCGCAUGUGUUCCAGAUUGACCCCAACACCAAGAAGAACUGGAUGCCUGCGAGCAAGCAGGCGGUCACCGUUUCCUACUUCUAUGAUGUCACAAGGAACAGCUAUCGGAUCAUCAGUGUGGACGGAGCCAAGGUGAUCAUAAACAGCACAAUCACACCGAAUAUGACCUUCACCAAAACGUCACAGAAGUUUGGGCAGUGGGCCGACAGCAGAGCCAACACGGUGUUUGGUUUGGGGUUUUCCUCUGAGCAGCAGCUGACAAAGUUUGCAGAGAAAUUCCAGGAGGUGAAAGAAGCUGCCAAGAUAGCCAAAGACAAGAUGCAGGAGAAAAUCGAGACCUCAAGUAAUCAUUCCCAAGCAUCCAGUGUCAAUGGGACGGACGAUGAAAAGGCCUCUCACGCUGGUCCAGCCAACACACACCUGAAGUCUGAGAAUGACAAGCUGAAGAUUGCGUUGACACAGAGCGCAGCCAACGUGAAGAAGUGGGAGAUCGAGCUGCAGACCCUUCGGGAGAGCAAUGCCCGGCUCACCACAGCACUGCAGGAGUCGGCAGCCAGUGUGGAGCAGUGG